GAUGAACGCUGGCGGCGUGCUUAACACAUGCAAGUCGAACGGAAAGGCCCAAGCUUGCUUGGGUACUCGAGUGGCGAACGGGUGAGUAACACGUGGGUGAUCUGCCCUGCACUUCGGGAUAAGCCUGGGAAACUGGGUCUAAUACCGGAUAGGACCACUUCUGGGAUGUUGUGGUGGACAGUUUUUUCGGUGUGGGGUGAGCUCGCGGCCUAUCAGCUUGUUGGUGGGGUAAUGGACUACCAAGGCGUCGACGGGUAGCCGGCCUGAGAGGGUGUACGGCGGCCUUGAGACUGAGGGACGGCCCAGACUCCUAAGGGAGGCAGCAGUGGGGAAUAUUGCACAAUGGGCGCAAGCCUGAUGAAGAGAGGCCGCGUGGGGGAUGACGGCCUUCGGGUUGUAAACUCCUUUCGCUAGGGACGAAGCGUUUUGUGACGGUACCUGGAGAAGAAGCACCGGCUAACUACGUG
rnacentral:rRNA from 1 species